AAUAUAGUUAAAGUAUACAUCAAUAUAUUUUAUAACUUUUUUCUGACAUUUAUUGAUCAAAAUACAGUCUUUGUAAAUGGAUUUCCAAAAGUAGAAAUGGUUACAAAUAAUAACAUUUUACUAAAACUCUCCUGUCUCUGUGUCAGUUUAAUGGUGUCAUCAUUUCAGUUUGGGUCUGUUGUGUUGAGGGUUUGGUAGGUGGAGUCUUGGGUUGUUGAGUUGAGGGUUUGGUAGGUGGAGUCUUGGGUUGUUGUAUUGAGGGUUUGGUAGGUGGAGUCUUGGGUUGAUGUGUUGAGGGUUUGGCAGGUGGAGUCUUGGGUUGUUGUGUUGAGGGUUUGGUAGGUGGAGUCUUGGGUUGUUUUGUAGGUGGAGUCUUGGGUUGUUGUAUUGAGGGUUUGGUAGGUGGAGUCUUGGGUUGUUGUGUUGAGGGUUUGGUAGGUGGAGUCUUGGGUUGUUGUGUUGAGGGUUUGGUAGGUGGAGUCUUGGGUUGUUGUGUUGAGGGUUUGGCAGGUGGAGUCUUGGGUUGAUGUGUUGAGGGUUUUGUAGGUGGAGUCUUGGGUUGUUGUAUUGAGGGUUUGGUAGGUGGAGUCUUGGGUUGUUGUGUUGAGGUUUGGUAGGUGGAGUCUUGGGUUGUUGUAUUGAGAUUUGGUAGGUGGAGUCUUGGGUUGCUGUGUUGAGGGUUUGGUAGGUGGAGUCUUGGGUUGUUGUGUUGAGGGUUUGGUAGGUGGAGUCUUGGGUUGCUGUGUUGAGGGUUUGGUAGGUGGAGUCUUGGGUUGCUAUGUUGAGGGUUUGGUAGGUGGAGUCUUGGGUUGCUAUGUUGAGGGUUUGGUAGGAGGAGUCUUGGGUUGUUGUGUCUGGAUUGGUGACUGGCCCUGUGGAACACAACAUAUAAAUCAUGUGUGUGUACGUGCAGUGGUGUGGUAGUGGUGUAGUAGUGUAGUGGUGUAGUAGUGUAGUAGUGUAGUGCUGUAGUAGUGUAGUAGAGGUGUAGUAGAGGUGUAGUGGUGUAGUAGUGUAGUGGUGUAGUAGUGUAGUAGUGUAGUGGUGUAGUAGUGUAGUGGUGUAGUAGUGUAGUAGUGUAGUAGUGUAGUAGUGUAGUAGUGUAGUAGUGUAGUGGUGUAGUAGUGUAGUGGUGUAGUAGUGGUGUAGUAGUGUAGUAGUGUAGUUGUGCCUGGAGCAGUGGGUAUACUCUAAUUUUGCCCAAAAUGUCCCAAACGGCCCACCUGAAUGACCUAAAAUUAUACAUCUUCCACAGUCAGGUAAACCCAAGCUGUACUGUGCUGGCCUGAAUAUUUUCUUCAUGCUAACAGUUCUAGCAGGAGUAUCCAGGCCAAUCUGGGCUUGGCUUGGCAUGGCUGAGUGUCAGCUUAG
ensembl:lncRNA